UGUUGGCUCUGCAACUCGUUUAACAUGGAAGCCAGCACAUAGCACUUAAUCCAAUUAUCUUCAUCCGUAUAUUUUUCAUAUGCUAUUCUUUGCUUAGCAGUAGGAUGGUUUGGUAACACUAGGGGUUCCUGAUCGAAUACAUGACCUAUUUUUUCAGAAAUCAGGAUAACCCUGAGGUUUCUAAACCAGUCUUUAUAAUUGGUUUCAGUCAAACGAUUGGACUCAA
rnacentral:lncRNA from 1 species